rnacentral:tRNA from 1 species
GUGCAUAUGGCUCAGUGGUAGAGCACAUGCUUAGCAUGCACAAGGUUCUGGGUUCAAUCCCCAGUAUCUCCA